GGUCCCAGCCUUCCUGUUAACUCUCAACAGACUUACACAUGCAAGCAUCCACGCCCCGGUGAGUAACGCCCUCCAAAUCAAUAAGACUAAGAGGAGCAGGUAUCAAGCACACAUCUUGUAGCUUACAACGCCUCGCUUAACCACACCCCUACGGGAGACAGCAGUGACAAAAAUUAAGCCAUAAACGAAAGUUUGACUAAGCCAUGUUGACCAGGGUUGGUAAAUCUCGUGCCAGCCACCGCGGUCAUACGAUUAACCCAAGCUAACAGGAAUACGGCGUAAAACGUGUUAAAGCACUACAUCAAAUAGAGUUAAAUUCUAAUUAAACUGUAAAAAGCCAUAAUUACAACAAAAAUAGAUGACGAAAGUAACCCUACUGCAGCUGAUACACUAUAGCUAAGACCCAAACUGGGAUUAGAUACCCCACUAUGCUUAGCCCUAAACACAAAUAAUUACAGAAACAAAAUUAUUCGCCAGAGUACUACCGGCAACAGCCCGAAACUCAAAGGACUUGGCGGUGCUUUAUACCCUUCUAGAGGAGCCUGUUCUAUAAUCGAUAA
rnacentral:rRNA from 1 species